rnacentral:rRNA from 2 species
AGUUCCAACCCUCGUACGGUGAAACCGCGAAUGGCUCAUUAAAUCAGUCGAGGUUCCUUAGAUGAUCCGAAUCCUACUUGGAUAACUGUGGUAAUUCUAGAGCUAAUACAUGCGGCCAAGCUCCGACCCUCGCGGGGAAGAGCGCUUUUAUUAGUUCAAAACCAGUCGGGGUUUCGGCUCCGUCCUUUGGUGACUCUGGAUAACUUUGUGCCGAUCGCAUGGCCUCGAGCCGGCGACGCAUCUUUCAAAUGUCUGCCCUAUCAAAUGACGAUGGUACGUGAUAGGCCUACCAUGUUUACUACGGGUAGCGGGGAAUCAGGGUUCGAUUCCGGAGAGGGAGCAU